UAUACAGAGCAUAGUCAGGAGUAUAUUCCUCCAGUUCUCCAGGACGUGUAUCCUGGUACUAGAAUACAACCAGCUCCAGAUCAUAUUAUCUCCUCUGCUCAGGAUAACAGUGGAUAUGGUACUUUUGAAAAUAAUUUGGUAGAUAUUCCAUAAACUAAUACUAAUAACUGCACUGAAUACUGAAAAGAGAAAUAAAGGUUUAGUACAUGUAUUAGUUAGAUUAGGAAUUUAUCAGCUCAAAUAAUUCUAUGAAAGGAACAUGCAACACAGGAAUUGUAUUUUUAUUGUAUUGACAUUAUAUUAUGGUAGGCAAUCUUGAGGAUACUACCUAUUUUUAUUAUUAUUAUUAUAAGUAGAUAACCCAUCAUUCUAUAAAAUAUGUAUCUAUAUUUAAGACUUAUUUGAAAAAUACAGUUAAGUGUCUGUGCAUUUGAUUUUUUGUACUGCAUUGGUAACAUUUCACUCUGGCACAAUACAAAACCUUGGUGAACUGUAAUAUGAACCAUAUUAAAUGAUCAUGAAAAAAUGGAUUAAAGUAAAUUCUAAGGUCUUUAUGUUUCAUUAAAAUGAUCAGUGCCUAUUGCUUAAUUUUUUAGUCACACCUAAGACUCAGAAAACAGUAAACUAUGAAGACGACAUUUAUGCGGGUUUGUUUGUGUGAGAGGGUGUGUGUAUGUGAUGUUGCUUUAAAGCAAGUAGUUUUGCCAGCAGUUUGAAAAUCAACUUAUUAACUAUGUAUUGAAAUGCAUGUACGUAACCAGUUUAUUGUAAAACAAGUUAUAGUUAUUGAAUAAUCAUAAGUGUCAUAAUAAUUAUUCACUUAUUUUUGAGUAAAAUCUUUCUAAUUCCGUAUUUCGAGAAACUGUCCAGAUAUCUCCUAUGUCUUAACUCUUCAAAUACAACUUUUAUUUUAUUAAACAAGCAUUUCUGACAGUUAACCUUUUUCCAGCUGAGAUGGUCAAUGAUAAUUAUGAUAAUGAUCAUUAUUAUAAUCGAUCAUACUGCAUGUAGCACUGAAAUUUAUACUUUUGUCCAACUAGAGUACUUUUUAAUGUACACAAAUCUAGGAA